UGGGGAAUAUUGGACAAUGGGCGCAAGCCUGAUCCAGCAAUGCCGCGUGAGUGAUGAAGGCCUUAGGGUUGUAAAGCUCUUUCGCACGCGACGAUGAUGACGGUAGCGUGAGAAGAAGCCCCGGCUAACUUCGUGCCAGCAGCCGCGGUAAUACGAAGGGGGCUAGCGUUGUUCGGAAUUACUGGGCGUAAAGGGCGCGUAGGCGGCCUGUUUAGUCAGAAGUGAAAGCCCCGGGCUCAACCUGGGAAUAGCUUUUGAUACUGGCAGGCUUGAGUUCCGGAGAGGAUGGUGGAAUUCCCAGUGUAGAGGUGAAAUUCGUAGAUAUUGGGAAGAACANCCGGUGGCGAAGGCGGCCAUCUGGACGGACACUGACGCUGAGGCGCG
rnacentral:rRNA from 1 species